rnacentral:rRNA from 1 species
AAUACAUGCAAGUCGAGCCGAACAGGACGAGGGAGCUUGCUCCUCUGACGUUAGCGGCGGACGGGUGAGUAACACGUGGAUAACCUACCUAUAAGACUGGGAUAACUUCGGGAAACCGGAGCUAAUACCGGAUAAUAUAUUGAACCGCAUGGUUCAAUAGUGAAAGACGGUUUUGCUGUCACUUAUAGAUGGAUCCGCGCCGCAUUAGCUAGUUGGUAAGGUAACGGCUUACCAAGGCAACGAUGCGUAGCCGACCUGAGAGGGUGAUCGGCCACACUGGAACUGAGACACGGUCCAGACUCCUACGGGAGGCAGCAGUAGGGAAUCUUCCGCAAUGGGCGAAAGCCUGACGGAGCAACGCCGCGUGAGUGAUGAAGGUCUUCGGAUCGUAAAACUCUGUUAUUAGGGAA